rnacentral:rRNA from 1 species
GCGGAGAGGGCAAGCGUUGUUCGGAUUUAUUGGGCGUAAAGCGCGCGUAGGCGGCUAAAUAAGUCGGGUGUUAAAUACCUACCGCUCACCGGAGGGAAUGCGCCCGAUACUGUUUGGCUUGAGUACGGAAGAGGAGACUGGAAUUCCGAGUGUAGCGGUGAAAUGCGUAGAUAUUCGGAGGAACAUCUGUGGCGAAGGCGAGUCUCUGGUCCGUGUCUGACGCUGAGGCGCGAAAGCGUGGGGAGCGAACGG